rnacentral:tRNA from 2 species
GGGCUCGUAGCUUAGCCUGGUGGAGCAUCCGACUGAUAAUCGGACGGUCGGGCGUUCAAAUCGCCCCGAGCCCA